AUGAAAAAGGCCGGGAGCGGUAAGAAGCUUGUGAGCGGAGGAGGAGCGGCCGCCGUCGCGUGUCUUGUGCUUCCUCUCGUCGUCCUCGCCGUGCUCAAGUCCGACUUCAUGCCGCAGCAGGUUGUUCACAUUGCAGAGAGCAGCAUUGGCGAAGCUGGUGUAGAGGGUGCAAUAUGGCAGCCGCGGCAACAACUAGUAGCCAGGUCAAAAGCUUCACAUGAUCCGGCAUCGGGCGACGAGACGCCCGACAAGGUCGUCGAUGCAAACAGAGAUCUAAAAAAUGGGAAGGGGUUCCUGGCCACUAAGGUGGGAAUGGAUGGUUCUUUGAUAAAAUCAGAUGGUGAUGUAGCCGCACCAAGGAGCAAGUUAAGUUGCAACUUCAGCAGUUAUCGCACCAACAUGUGUGCCAUGCAAGGCGACGUCCGUCUGCACGGCAAAACCGCCACCGUCUACGUGGUGUCAGCGUCCGACGACAACCGGCCAGAGAAUGGGACGAUCACGAUCCGGCCGUACCCGCGCAAAUGGGAGACACCGACGAUGCAGCUGGUCCGUGAGGUGACCAUCCGUUGGAGAGCCCCACCGGGAGCGGGUGCGCCACGGUGCACGGUGACCUACGACGUCCCAGCGGUGGUCUUCUCCACCGGCGGCUACGGCGUCAACAUCUUCCACGCCAUUACCGACAUCAUCAUGCCUCUCUACAACACGGCGCGGGAGUACGAUGGCCGCGUCCGGCUCGUGGCCACAAACUACGACCGCAAAUGGAUCGCCAAGUACCGCCACGCCCUCUCCAUGCUCUCCAUCUACCCGGUCAUGGACUUGGACGCCGACAACGAGGUGCGCUGCUUCCCGUCGGUGCAUGUGGGAACGGAGAGCCAUAAGGAGCUAGGGAUUGACUCGGCUCUCUCCGGCAAGGGCUACACGACGAUGGGUUUUCGCGGCCUGCUCCGGUCGGCUUACUCUCUGAAGCGUGAGUGGGUGACCCCCAUAAAGAGUGGAAGGCCUCGUCUCGUCAUGGUGCUGCGGAGGAACUCGAGGGCGCUGACGAACGAGGCGGAAGUUAUAGCAGCUGCCACUGAGGUUGGCUUCGAGGUGGUAGCCGCGGGGCCGGAGGUUGUGCGCGACCUGGGCAAGUUCGCGGGGACGGUGAACUCGUGCGACGUGCUGGUGGGCGUGCACGGCGCGGGGCUGAGCAACAUGGUGUUCCUCCCGCGCAACGGCACGGUGGUGCAGAUCGUCCCUUGGGGCGAGAUGAAGUGGCCGGCCUGGACCUCCUACGGCGAGCCGGUGGCUCCCAUGGGGCUUCGCUACGUCGAGUACGAGACCACCGCCGAGGAGACCACGCUCAAGGACGUGUACCCGAGGAACCACACCAUCUUCACCGAUCCCGUCUCCAUACACAAACAGGGAUUCAACAUGUUGUGGGAGACCUUUCUCAACGGCCAGAACGUCACCCUCGACGUCCACCGCUUCAGAGGGGUCCUGCAACACAUCUACCGCUCCGUUACCAUCACAUAA
rnacentral:rRNA from 1 species